rnacentral:rRNA from 1 species
UACGUAGGGGGCAAGCGUUGUCCGGAUUUAUUGGGCGUAAAGAGCGUGUAGGCGGCCUGACAGGUCUGCUGUGAAAACUCGGGGCUCAACCUCGAGAUGUCGGCGGAAACCGUCUGGCUAGAGUCCGGAAGAGGAGAGUGGAAUUCCUGGUGUAGCGGUGAAAUGCGCAGAUAUCAGGAAGAACACCUAUGGCGAAGGCAGCUCUCUGGGACGGUACUGACGCUGAGACGCGAAAGCGUGGGGAGCGAACAGG